rnacentral:rRNA from 1 species
AGCUAAUACAUGCAGUAGAACGCUGAAGAGAGGAGCUUGCUCUUCUUGGAUGAGUUGCGAACGGGUGAGUAACGCGUAGGUAACCUGCCUUGUAGCGGGGGAUAACUAUUGGAAACGAUAGCUAAUACCGCAUAACAAUGGAUGACUCAUGUCAUUUAUUUGAAAGGGGCAAAUGCUCCACUACAAGAUGGACCUGCGUUGUAUUAGCUAGUAGGUGAGGUAACGGCUCACCUAGGCGACGAUACAUAGCCGACCUGAGAGGGUGAUCGGCCACACUGGGACUGAGACACGGCCCAGACUCCUACGGGAGGCAGCAGUAGGGAAUCUUCGGCAAUGGGGGCAACCCUGACCGAGCAACGCCGCGUGAGUGAAGAAGGUUUUCGGAUCGUAAAGCUCUGUUGUAAGUCAAGAACGAGUGUGAGAGUGGAAAGUUCACACUGUGACGGUAGCUUACCAGAAAGGGACGGCUAACUACGUGCCAGCAGCCGCGGUAAUACGUAGGUCCCGAGCGUUGUCCGGAUUUAUUGGGCGUAAAGCGAGCGCAGGCGGUUUGAUAAGUCUGAAGUUAAAGGCUGUGGCUCAACCAUAGUUCGCUUUGGAAACUGUCAAACUUGAGUGCAGAAGGGGAGAGUGGAAUUCCAUGUGUAGCGGUGAAAUGCGUAGAUAUAUGGAGGAACACCGGUGGCGAAAGCGGCUCUCUGGUCUGUAACUGACGCUGAGGCUCGAAAGCGUGGGGAGCGAACAGGAUUAGAUACCCUGGUAGUCCACGCCGUAAACGAUGAGUGCUAGGUGUUGGAUCCUUUCCGGGAUUCAGUGCCGCAGCUAACGCAUUAAGCACUCCGCCUGGGGAGUACGACCGCAAGGUUGAAACUCAAAGGAAUUGACGGGGGCCCGCACAAGCGGUGGAGCAUGUGGUUUAAUUCGAAGCAACGCGAAGAACCUUACCAGGUCUUGACAUCCCGAUGCUAUUUCUAGAGAUAGAAAGUUACUUCGGUACAUCGGUGACAGGUGGUGCAUGGUUGUCGUCAGCUCGUGUCGUGAGAUGUUGGGUUAAGUCCCGCAACGAGCGCAACCCCUAUUGUUAGUUGCCAUCAUUCAGUUGGGCACUCUAGCGAGACUGCCGGUAAUAAACCGGAGGAAGGUGGGGAUGACGUCAAAUCAUCAUUCAGUUGGGCACUCUAGCGAGACUGCCGGUAAUAAACCGGAGGAAGGUGGGGAUGACGUCAAAUCAUCAUGCCCCUUAUGACCUGGGCUACACACGUGCUACAAUGGUUGGUACAACGAGUUGCGAGUCGGUGACGGCAAGCUAAUCUCUUAAAGCCAAUCUCAGUUCGGAUUGUAGGCUGCAACUCGCCUACAUGAAGUCGGAAUCGCUAGUAAUCGCGGAUCAGCACGCCGCGGUGAAUACGUUCCCGGGCCUU